AGAUGUGAGGGCGAUCCAGCUGCAACAUUCAUCACCCUACUGAUCGCCAUGGCUGAUUCACUUGAUCUGUCUGUCUAGGCACAUGUCCUCUUCCUCCCUUACAGCUCCACGCAAGCAUCCCUCCUGAAGCUUUGCACCUGGUGAAAGAGGAUGACCUUCCCCAGUAGAGGAGAACCUUGCCUGACAGACAACUGUUCUUCAGUCAAGGGUAUAUGAGUAGCUGUGUUCCCCAACUAGAACUUCCAAACAAGCUCUCAUACUGGGGCAGCUAGCCUCGAAGAUGGCCCUAAACAAUUCUUGCCUCUUGAUAUUCAUGUCCUCAUGCAGUAU
ensembl:misc_RNA 7SK 7SK RNA